AAUGCAAGUCGAGCGGAAGAUGGGAGCUUGCUCCCUGAUGUUAGCGGCGGACGGGUGAGUAACACGUGGGUAACCUGCCUGUAAGACUGGGAUAACUCCGGGAAACCGGGGCUAAUACCGGAUGGUUGUUUGAACCGCAUGGUUCAAACAUAAAAGGUGGCUUCGGCUACCACUUACAGAUGGACCCGCGGCGCAUUAGCUAGUUGGUGAGGUAACGGCUCACCAAGGCGACGAUGCGUAGCCGACCUGAGAGGGUGAUCGGCCACACUGGGACUGAGACACGGCCCAGACUCCUACGGGAGGCAGCAGUAGGGAAUCUUCCGCAAUGGACGAAAGUCUGACGGAGCAACGCCGCGUGAGUGAUGAAGGUUUUCGGAUCGUAAAGCUCUGUUGUUAGGGAAGAACAAGUACCGUUCGAAUAGGGCGGUACCUUGACGGUACCUAAUCAGAAAGCCACGGCUAACUACGUGCCAUCAGCCGCGGUAAUACGUAGGUGGCAAGCGUUGUCCGGAAUUAUUGGGCGUAAAGGGCUCGCAGGCGGUUUCUUAAGUCUGAUGUGAAAGCCCCCGGCUCAACCGGGGACGGUCAUUGGAAACUGGGGAACUUGAUNGCAC
rnacentral:rRNA from 1 species